rnacentral:rRNA from 1 species
AAAUUGAAGAGUUUGAUCAUGGCUCAGAUUGAACGCUGGCGGCAGGCCUAACACAUGCAAGUCGAACGGUAACAGGAAGCAGCUUGCUGCUUCGCUGACGAGUGGCGGACGGGUGAGUAAUGUCUGGGAAACUGCCUGAUGGAGGGGGAUAACUACUGGAAACGGUAGCUAAUACCGCAUAACGUCGCAAGACCAAAGAGGGGGACCUUCGGGCCUCUUGCCAUCGGAUGUGCCCAGAUGGGAUUAGCUUGUUGGUGGGGUAACGGCUCACCAAGGCGACGAUCCCUAGCUGGUCUGAGAGGAUGACCAGCCACACUGGAACUGAGACACGGUCCAGACUCCUACGGGAGGCAGCAGUGGGGAAUAUUGCACAAUGGGCGCAAGCCUGAUGCAGCCAUGCCGCGUGUAUGAAGAAGG